rnacentral:rRNA from 1 species
AGGACGAACGCUGGCGGCGUGCUUAACACAUGCAAGUCGAACGAUGAAGCGCCUUCGGGUGUGGAUUAGUGGCGAACGGGUGAGUAACACGUGGGUAAUCUGCCUUGCACUCUGGGAUAAGCUUGGGAAACUGGGUCUAAUACCGGAUAUGACUAUGUCACGCAUGUGGUGUGGUGGUAAAGUUUUGGCGGUGUGAGAGUCGAACCCGCGGCCUAUCAGCUUGUUGGUGGGUGAUGGCCUACCGAGGCGACGGACGGGUA